AGUAAAUAAACAGUAGUGUGUAUCUUUUCGGACGCACUGAGCUGUCAUUUUCAACCUCACUUCCUGAUAGC